UACGUAGGGUGCGAGCGUUGUCCGGAAUUAUUGGGCGUAAAGAGCUCGUAGGCGGUGUGUCGCGUCGGCCGUGAAAACCUGCAGCUUAACUGUGGGCUUGCGGUCGAUACGGGCAUCACUGGAGUUCGGCAGGGGAGACUGGAAUUCCUGGUGUAGCGGUGAAAUGCGCAGAUAUCAGGAGGAACACCGGUGGCGAAGGCGGUCUCUGGGCGAUG
rnacentral:rRNA from 1 species